rnacentral:lncRNA from 1 species
GGAUGGGGGUCCAGGCAGCCCCAACCCACCCUCCCGCUUUGGAUCCCCGGGGAUCACCGGACGGACGUUUUCCCGCUCCCCGCCCCGGCCCGGGGAACUGCUUUGGGCGCUCCAGGGCCGGCGAUCCGCGGAAGGCGUCCGGCCUAUCACCCUCGACUCCGACUUUGCAGCUCCCCGCCUGCGCCGUGCUCAUUGCCGGCGCUCCUGAGACGGUUUCCCGAAACUGCCCCCCGAAGGCUCCCCGCCGCGGCCCCGGGGUCCCCCGCAGGAUUCCAGGAGGCGCCGCCGCCGCCGCCACCCGGCGGGCGCAGUGACCCGCUCCCAGGCCCCGGGGCCUCUGCCCCUCCUCCCGGGGAUCCCCUUUCGCCAACAGCCUCCCGGGCCCCGCAGGACACUCCCCUCCGGAGGCCGGGCCUCGUCGGCCCGCCACCGCCCCCGCCUAGCCCCCGGCCGCCCCGCCCGCGCGCCGCGCCGGGAGAGCCCCGGGCCCCGACCCCUCCCCCCGGACGCCCGGCCGGAGAGCGGGACCCGGGCGGCGAGGGUGACUGGGCUGCGGCGCGGGGCCGGGUCCUGGGCAGGGAGGCUCGGCGGCCUCUUUCUUUCUCCGCCCCCGCCCCUUUCUCUCCUUCCUCCUCGCUAGCCCCGCCGGCGGCGGCGGAGUUCGGCACUCUCGCCUCGCCUCCUCCCCCACCCGGGGACCCUCUCCUCUCCCCUCCCCUCCCUCGCCCGCUCCUCCCGCCGCCUCCUCCCUCCCGGAGCGGCUGGCUGCGAGGAGGCGUAACGGAAAGCCCCGGCGGGGGAAGGCUGCGAGCUCGGGGCCGGAGACACAGAGCCGGGCCGGGUAAACUGGGAAGCAGACUCUUGAAUUCACAGCUGGCUUGUGGUUUUUGCAUCUCGUUAAAGCGCACUCAUCAUACAGGUGAUGGCGGUGGACCAUCUCGGCUGAACCCAGCCUCCCAUCCAUUCCCACUGAAAUGUGAACGAAGCCACCUCAAUCCUGUAGACUGGCCCAUCCGGCCACUGCAUGCCACCUCUGACUUGCCCCGUGGGACAGAAGCAUCAUCCAACUAUUCCUUUUGCCCAAAUUCCUAA